UUUGACGUUAGCUGCAGAAGAAGCACCGGCUAACUCCGUGCCAGCAGCCGCGGUAAUACGGAGGGUGCGAGCGUUAAUCGGAAUUACUGGGCGUAAAGCGCAUGCAGGUGGUUUGUUAAGUCAGAUGUGAAAGCCCGGGGCUCAACCUCGGAAUUGCAUUUGAAACUGGCAGACUAGAGUACUGUAGAGGGGGGUAGAAUUUCAGGUGUAGCGGUGAAAUGCGUAGAGAUCUGAAGGAAUACCGGUGGCGAAGGCGGCCCCCUGGACAGAUACUGACACUCAGAUGCGAAAGCGUGGGGAGCAAACAGGAUUAGAUACCCUGGUAGUCCACGCCGUAAACGAUGUCUACUUGGAGGUUGUGGCCUUGAGCCGUGGCUUUCGGAGCUAACGCGUUAAGUAGACCGCCUGGGGAGUACGGUCGCAAGAUUAAAACUCAAAUGAAUUGACGGGGGCCCGCACAAGCGGUGGAGCAUGUGGUUUAAUUCGAUGCAACGCGAAGAACCUUACCUACUCUUGACAUCCAGAGAACUUUCCAGAGAUGGAUUGGUGCCUUCGGGAACUCUGAGACAGGUGCUGCAUGGCUGUCGUCAGCUCGUGUUGUGAAAUGUUGGGUUAAGUCCCGCAACGAGCGCAACCCUUAUCCUUGUUUGCCAGCGAGUAAUGUCGGGAACUCCAGGGAGACUGCCGGUGAUAAACCGGAGGAAGGUGGGGACGACGUCAAGUCAUCAUGGCCCUUACGAGUAGGGCUACACACGUGCUACAAUGGCGCAUACAGAGGGCAGCCAACUUGCGAAAGUGAGCGAAUCCCAAAAAGUGCGUCGUAGUCCGGAUCGGAGUCUGCAACUCGACUCCGUGAAGUCGGAAUCGCUAGUAAUCGUGGAUCAGAAUGCCACGGUGAAUACGUUCCCGGGCCUUGUACACACCGCCCGUCACACCAUGGGAGUGGGCUGCAAAAGAAGUGGGUAGUUUAACCUUCGGGAGGACGCUCACCACUUUGUGGUUCAUGACUGGGGUGAAGUCGUAACAAGGUAGCCCUAGGGGAACCUGGGGCUGGAUCACCUCCUUAUACGAUGAU
rnacentral:rRNA from 1 species